rnacentral:tRNA from 1 species
ACCACUGUAGCUUAGUGGUCAGAGCACUGGUGCGUAAAAUCAGGGACGCAGGUUCGAUUCCCGACGAGGGUG